ACCACAGUUGGUUUAGUUGGCAUCAAUUUCGAUAUGCGCAUGAACCCUGCAUAUGGCACUACGCUCAAGAUGUUUUGAACAGUGUAAAACAAUAAUGCAGCUUUGGUGAAAAUCCCUGGAGCUAAUCCAAGACUACACCAAUUGAAGAUGCAGCUUGAGGAUUAGACGCUCUUUCGUUUCUUCUCAAGGCAAGGCGCUAAGACCUCGCCAUGGUCAUUGCAAGCCUCAGCAUCAGUCUUUGAAUCACUGAAUGAAUAGAUGGAUCAAAAUCAGAAGCAUCCAGCCAGUAACCAUCGAUUACGAGCCCAGUGACCAAAAAAUGAAUAAAUCGUCGACUCCGGCCAUGGGAGGAGGGCCCCAAAACUCGAAAUGCGGCGCGACUUUUUUUCAUGGGCUGCUUGUUUGUUCUCGAUCCAUAUCCAUCUUGGGAUGAGGCUUUGAUUGCGGUCAGUUCAAGCAUAAAUUACCCUCUCCAUGAUUUGAUGACAGGCCACAAGAUGAAGUGAGUGGAGCCAGCCAAGCAGUCAGCAUUAGACAUCGCCUCUAUUUUUGGGUACACCAGCUCAAGACCGAGCUCAUCUAGAUCUUGUUUGUACUUGAUCCAGUGGUGGUAGAAAACAGAGCGCUCAUUGAUGCCCCCCCCCUUCAUUAAAGGCGGCUCAUUGAAAAUCUAGGCCUAGUGAUUCUCACCAUAUGACCGACCAUAUGACUAGAACAAAAUCACGACCGAAUCCUUCUUCUUCAUGAUGCAUAAUCAUCAUGAAGAAAUCUAAGCAAAAUGUACACAAGUGGAGUAGGCAUCAGUAGUAGUAGUAGUAGAAGAAGAAACUGCAACAGUUCCUGAUGAUACCCCCUUUGGUGAAUGGUCGGACGGACGGACGGACGGACGGAUGGGUUGAUGGGUGGGUAGGUAGGUAAGUAAGUAGGUUGGUAGAUAAUGGUAAAUGGUGGUUGCUGGAUGUGGUGUUGACUAAUAAAGAGAAGAAUUAUCUCGACGGAGUGACCGCAACGUUGAUGAAAACCCCUUGCGUUGCCCAGCGUUGCCUGCUUAACUUGAUGCAAAUCUAAUUCUCCUUUUUAAGUCUAGGAAAUUGAGAUCAUAAAAACGGGAUUCUACUUCCACUACGAAUUUUUACGACGUCUCUCCGAGCAACGGUUUCCUCCGUAAGCAUUGGCCUGAGAUGAAUCUAUCUAAAAAAGGGUCUCGACAUUUCAGGUGUUGACUGCGGAUCCACUUCGUUUUCCCUGUCUGAGGCUGUGUUUAUGAGAGAGAUUCCCAGAUCAGACCUCGUGAUGGAACCAACCUAGAAGGUGAUCUUCAUGGCCAUCGUGAUCAAGAAGAUCUUGACGAUGAUCCUGGUAACCCGGGUUCGGUCACCAAGCACGACUAUAACCACAUCAAUGCAUUCUUUGCGUUGUUUGGAUGGUGAUCAGAGCUCCACGCUAUCGCUCUCCAGCAUCUCUGUGGGCUGUCUACACCUGAACCCCAAAGAAUCCACGCUAUCCAAGUUAAAGCGCGUGCACCAAAUAGCAUGGUGAGUCUUUCUUAUUGGCCAAGAUUCAUUGUUUCAAGCUUUCAAGCUGCUGCUGAUGUUGGUCGUCAUCGUCGCUGUUGUUGCUUCCCGUUCCUCCCAAGUUCAAAUAGCGAGUUACUCGGGAGCCUUAGUAGACGUACGAAAUGGGAGCAUGGCUUGAACCUUCGUGCCCCCCCCCUCCCCCCUGCGUCCCUGGAAGCCUUCACAAUCCACACAGAGGACCACCACGGUCUCUACGUGCUUGUCGACAUCAUCGUUGAAAGCAUGGUAAAUCUGAUAAGCAAAGACGAUAAGCCGGAGAAAUGUAUGGAAAAAACUGCUCUUCGACGACGAUGAUCAUGAGAGAUCGAUGGAUGAAGACGAGGAAACCAGCCCGCAAUGAACUAACCAACCGACUAAGCCACCAUCCCACCAAUCCACUACAUAAGUAGAGAGAUGGAUGUUGAGAAGCCGACCGAUGAUGUGAAAUUCGUCCGGGGAGAGAUGAUUCUUAAUGAACUUGGCAUUUUCUAAACCGUAACACCGGGGCAAGGGAUCAACAACGAAUGAACGAGUGUCUCUUUGAAAAACCUUUUGGGCUCGAAAACAUCGGUGAAGAUCGUGUGAUUGGUCCAUCCGGCGAUGUCUUUUGGUAUAACCCGUCGGAAGGUUCAAUGGUUAGACAAGAAGAAAAGUUGAAGACAAAAACAAGUUAGUUAACACUCUUCACACGUUUAUGACCCCUAAAACCUCGUGGUUGGAGAGUGCAAUGAAGAGAAGCUGAGCCGAGCUACUGAAGAAGCCAGCCAGCCAACAAACGAGCAAAAGUGUCCAAAACCCUCGAAAGCCAAAGUUUCACGCUGACUGAGCAUGGAAAGAAGAACCCAUGGCACGGCCACAAUUCGUCGGUUUUCCAUUACCCUCAAAUGAAGUACGUAUUUGACGGAGGAGAGAAGAAAAGGACUAACCUUGGGCCAAACAGACUUGAUUAUUGUACAAUAUUACACAAUAUGAUUCAUCCCAUGCUCCUCGACGCUUCAGUAGGACUUUUCUUCGUUAUACGUUGUAGUUCUCGUACUAAAGAUUUUUGACCCGGUCGAUUAGUUGCCACAGGUUGAGAGCAACCUUGGCCAGAACCACGGAUCUGGUCCCAAGUACCCGAAGAUGUUGUGACCAAAGAAUGAUAUCAGCCUUGGACUCUCCAUUCCCCUUGAAAUGGUUAUGUAGGCACUGAUGGUAUAGUUCCAUUUUUGGUUGAGGCCGUUUCAUCGAGGGACGAGCCGUUGGGCACCAUUUUUCUGGAAUGAUGCACUCAUAUCGUCCACACGAAGAAAGCAACGAGGGGCUAAACAAACAUAGUGUGUACUCCAUGCAGAACUGUCCUUCUUCUCAAUCCAUUCUUUACCCCCAUGAACGAGGACAGAUAUUUGAAAAGAGCAUUGCACUCGAAACAGAUCUGGCUGCCGCAUUCGUAUUAUCGUGCUACUAGUACUACGUAUGUACGUAUGCUUUACCCCAUACACCGCCACUCCUCACUAGGGAUGGACGUACACACGGGGCCAUCUAGGGAAGGUUCAAUAUUGAACCAAGAUUGUUGAUAUAUGACCCAGCUCCGUAUUACCGUACUCCCGGACUACUACAGAGUCGUAUGGGUCUACCCAAUGUCCCUCGGCCAACGCUCUCCAACAAGAAUAGGGGGAAUUGCAUGCAUUCAUGUAUGUAAAGCCUGUUCGCCUCUUCUGUCACCCUCUCACAUGAGAGGAUAUGAGGAUGAGACGUUGAUG